UAAACCUAGGACGUGAAGCCUUACGAAAUAGAUGGGUAGCUAGGUGGCUAUUUAUAUAGGCCAUAAAGGCUACUAUUGCUACUAGCAGGAUGCUGUAGAAGCUUCCAAAAAAUUAGUUAGGUCUGAGAAGACGACUAGAAUGAGCAUGCAUCAUGAUUGUCGCAUUAUAAUUGUCUCUUGUGCAUCAACAUGCUUCUUUCACCUUUAUUCUAAUAACAAGAACUUGUGAAUAAUGUGAUGUACUGCUAUGUUCUGAAAACUAUAAGAAAUGCUUUACCUUGUGUCGGAUUGGUAAGCCUUGACUAGGUCGUGAUAUGUGUUUCUCUUGCCUUGCUUUCUAGAAGGUACGAUAGUUGUUCAGUCCGUUUUGCCUCUAAAAAAAAAUUGUUGUCUGUCCUGCUCAUAAAAGACCCCCUUCCCCAAAUAAUCUAGUGGUUCCCUAGUGAAACCAAAAAAAAAUCAAAUCACGUGCUUGUUUGGGGUGUUUCUAGCCCUUGUGUGUUUUACGCUUGAAGUUACACCUGCACAGCUUAUAGACCCCCACAGCUUGACCGCUGGACCAACCCAAGUCCCCUUGUGCACUUGUUGUGUCAAAAAAAUUGCUGGGUGUCUAGUUGCACAAACCCUAUCAAGGCCAUGUUACUUUCCAUAAAUCCUAUCUCCUAAAACUUCAUAGCAUUCCUGUUGAUCAUCCUAGCUGAUCCUGUUUGCCGACCUCUCUUUUCACCUGGAUCUAGUACUCUUUUUCCUUGUGAAUUAUGUUGUGACUUUAUCAUACAAAUCUCUGGAUCCUUCAUCGAUUCGGCCCCGUAUCUGGUUAUCUGUUGUAACCCGUUCUCAAAUAUCGAAUGUUGAUCUUGCCUAAAUCUCUCAUUCUAAUCAUUCUCAUACUCUUUCUCCAAGGAUCAUGACGUCAUUUUAUCAACAUAUCUCUAAUCAGUGUAUCCAUUUAGUUCAAUGGAUUUCAUUGUUGUCCUUGGAUCUCUUAUGUCUCUAAAAGCUUAUCAGUCCCGAUCUCAUGGUUGGUUCCUCCUCAUAUUAAAUACCGUAUCGAUCUUUGGCUGAUAAUCCCCGUGAUGAUCAUAAAAAUAGUUCUCUGAGAUGAAGAAAAUUCUCCUGUGAUGCUCUUUUGCCAGCAAUCUCUGCUUCAAUUCUGAUCAUAUUUUUUAUUUGCUGAGCCAUACUCUCAUGGGUUCCAUCUAAUUAUGCCAAGUGAAUUUUUCAUUGGUUACGUUUAGUAAUGGUGUCAUGACUAACGACUGAUGGUGUCGCGACGAGAACGAGAGCCUACUAUGGUGCACACAUGGUUGAGCUGCUCGGCACGCGCUGGUAUCGCGGUCACUAGUCGUGAUCCAUUACGAGACUAUACUGAUGUGCUACCUUUUGUGAACAUUCUCUCAGAGCGAUCGCUGCAUUUUGUCUCAACAUGCCGCGAUAUUCUCCCCAAAUCUAUCUUCAGUAUCUUGUCAGAUCACAUCUCAAAAAUUUCCAUCUAUCUUCAGCUUGGGAGUUACAUGCUUCUCCACCCUUAAGAGUCCUUGUUCGAAUCUCGGGACGAGAUUCUUUUUAAGGGGGGAAGGCUGUGACACCCCAGGUGUCUAUUUCGGGUUAUGACGGAAGAAUUACCCUAAUCUUGAAUGCUCAGUGAAAAUUUCUAUUUCUCGAUCGUGUCUAUCUCUGUCUAUCAGGCUUUCUCAUGGAAGUUCACCGAAUUCAGAGUUAAUCGAUCGCGAGAAACAACCAAGUUUGGAGCGUGUUAAAACUUUUAAUUCUUGGCAUGGAUGCAAAACUCGAUACUCAAUCUCGAUUUAUAAAUCUCGUCUAAAGCUCAUUUAAUCAAACGCUCGGCAGCUGCUAGUCGAGCUGUGUCCGACUCCGAUUUCUCGAUGUUCGAUCUAUGUCCAAAAAUUAAUCCGACUCCGUACUCUCACACGGAAUACUCAAAUUGUCGUCCUCUAAUCAAUUUUAUCCGACUCGACCAAAUAUCUCAUGUCCGAACUGAACUCAAAACCCCGUAUCGGCAACGAUUUUAAAAUAUCACGAUUCGCCUUAUCCGACUAAAAAUCCAAAGCCGAUCGAAUCUCAAGACGAUUUAUUUUCAAAUCAUGCGUAGGGAAUUAUUUUCGAGCAAAGUCAAACCAAACUCUCGACCAAGUUAAUCGCGUAGUCGUCCGUUCGUCCGAACUCUGUUCCACUCUGUUCCGCGUACAGACGAAAUCCGCAGGAACAUUUUUAUUCCGGAAAAAUAAAUUAGCGCGACCCGAUUUCAUGUUUUGGGGCCAAGCCCAUUCUAGCCCGGCCCAGCCCACUAAGAAAACCCUAACCCUAGAGCUCAUCUAUAAAUAGGACCCCUCUCCCCUUGCACUUGGAAAUUUUGCAUUCCCACCCCUAUCUUUUUUUCAGCCGCCACUUCCUUUUCCCUGCCUUCUUCUUCCUCCAGCGAGCAGCAAGCGCAGGGAGCAGCAGCUUUCCCAGCGCCCCCUCUCUCCCAUGGCUGAGCAGCAGCUCUGCUCGCCCCCUCCCAUGGCGCCUCCGCCUCCCUGCGUGCUCUCUCCUCGCUCCUUGGCGCAGCAGCAAAUUACCAUGGUGCCUCCCUCUGCUGUCCACGAAGAGCAGCCAAGCGCCCCACUGUUGAAGCUCCCUGGAUGGCGCCUAGAAUUUCAGCAGAGAGCUUCUUCUCCAUGGCCAGCCGCCCCUCUGUUGCUGCCGAGCUCCAGCUCUGGCCAGCAGCCAUGGCGCCGAGGAUUACCUGCAGGCGAGCAGCUCGGCCCUUCUUCCCUGCGCCCAGCUAUUCUCCCUGCGCAGCACCUCCUUCUUCUACCUCUUGCCGGCGCCCAGCAGCAGCUCACCCCAUGGAUGGCGCCCAGAAAAUUUCAGCCGGCGCCCCUUCUUUUUCCCCUGCUCGUUCUCCCUCGCGCAGCAGCAGCUCGCCCCACCUCCCCUCGCUGCGCAGCUCCUCGGCGAAACGCCGCUGUUCCUGCAGCCCCGGCACAUCCCCCAGCUUCCUCGCUGCUACCGCUGCGCGCAUGCCAAGUGCUCGGCAUAAUGUCGAGGGAGAUGUGUUGUUGCAGCACGCCGUGACGCUCGCUGGGUGUUCAAUGUUUUUGGCGCAGCCCCGCUCGCGACGCCGUUGAAACCCGUGCUAGCCGUCAAUCGCCAUUCGUCACGCACGCGCGUUCGAUACAAGACCGGUCGGGUGAACCACGUGCUUGCAUAACUCAAAUCCGAUCCCGCUCAGGACCGAGAGAUGGUGAUCGAGCCAGUGAUGUGGUGCCAACCACAAGAUGCCGUGGUGGACGACCUGAAGGAUGGGCAUAACCAGUGGAUGCUCGCCAAACGAGUACCCCCCAGCAAACACUAUCUAAGUGUUAAAUUAAAGGCAA